UACAGAGGUGGCAAGCGUUGUUCGGAAUUACUGGGCGUAAAGGGCGCGUAGGCGGCCUUCUAAGUCAGACGUGAAAUCCCCAGGCUUAACUUGGGAACUGCGUCUGAUACUGGGAGGCUUGAGUGCGGGAGAGGGAUGUGGAAUUCCAGGUGUAGCGGUGAAAUGCGUAGAUAUCUGGAGGAACACCGGUGGCGAAGGCGGCAUCCUGGACCGACGACUGACGCUGAGGCGCGAAAGCCAGGGGAGCAAACGGG
rnacentral:rRNA from 1 species